UACGUAGGGUGCGAGCGUUUGUCCGGAAUUAUUGGGCGUAAAGAGCUUGUAGGCGGUUUGUCGCGUCUGCUGUGAAAAUCCGGGGCUCAACCCCGGACUUGCAGUGGGUACGGGCAGACUAGAGUGUGGUAGGGGAGACUGGAAUUCCUGGUGUAGCGGUGAAAUGCGCAGAUAUCAGGAGGAACACCGGUGGCGAAGGCGGGUCUCUGGGCCGAUACUGACGCUGAGGAGCGAAAGCGUGGGGAGCGAACAGG
rnacentral:rRNA from 1 species